UUCAGAGCUAACCGAAAUAUCGGAGAGAUUAAUUAAGUUCUCUGGCGUGUAGAGUAGCCCACCCUCAAUAAGGUUAGGGUCACUAACCGGUGGCUCAAACAUUUGGGAAAAAUGUGCAGAGAAUAGCUCACAGAUCUCAACAGGCGUAGAGGCAGUUCGAGAAUCAAGUACCAUUUCAUUAGGUAACGUAUUGCACCCUCUUCGAAUCCUAACAAAUUGCCAGAAGGAUGCUGGAUCAGAACGGAAACGCGAUUGCAGUCUACUCGAAUAGGCCUCAAAACAAGCCCUGUUGUAUAGUCGAUGCGCAGAGGCAGCGUACUUAAAUAAACGAAAGUUGAAAGCAGAUCGGUUCAGACGAUACCUCCUAAGAUAUUUCAUUCUAUCCUUUUUCAGGUUGCGAAGAGUACGAUUGGACCAGGGAGGAUUAGGAGGGGAACGAAAAAUAGGUGUACAUGAAAGGAGUGCAGAGGUUAACAAAGCAUUAAACGAUUGGACAGCCUCGUCGACCGAUGUACAUUGAUAAAAAAAAGACCAGUCGGAACGAGAUAGAAUUGAAUUAAGUUUACGAUAGUCUGUGAGCCGAAAAUGUUCCAGGUACUAUGUUCCAGGUACUGGGUUAUGUUGCAGAUCAAUUCAAGGACUGAUAUGGGGUAAGGAUCAAUUGAACGAUCGUUUUGAGUUUAGGAUCAGCUUCAGAUCCGGUAGGAGGUCACAAGAUGGUGUGAGGAGUAUUAGUUCCAGAACUGAUAUGAUAGAACAGAACUGAUCAGUUCCAGGAUCGGUAUGGGUUUAGGAUCAGUUCAAAGUGUGAUAUGGCGUCAGAAUCAAUUCCCGAAUCUAUCAAAAUAGAACACAAGACCUAGGACCGCAGUACGGAUGCAGUAUCAGCAUUCGAACCUCAACCUCACUUAGAGAAGACGAACCAACGAAUGUGCGGUUAAUAACUCUUUCUUAAAAAAUACAUUUCCUCCUACCGCAAUGAAUUCGUUCGUUUUCUGGUUUUGUUCGCGUGCUGUGUCUGCACAG